CUACGUGCCAGCAGCCGCGGUAAUACGUAGGUCCCGAGCGUUAUCCGGAUUUAUUGGGCGUAAAGCGAGCGCAGGCGGUUAGAUAAGUCUGAAGUUAAAGGCUGUGGCUUAACCAUAGUACGCUUUGGAAACUGUUUAACUUGAGUGCAGAAGGGGAGAGUGGAAUUCCAUGUGUAGCGGUGAAAUGCGUAGAUAUAUGGAGGAACACCGGUGGCGAAAGCGGCUCUCUGGUCUGUAACUGACGCUGAGGCUCGAAAGCGCGGGGAGCAAACAGGAUUAGAUACCCUGGUAGUCCACGCCGUAAACGAUGAGUGCUAGGUGUUGGGUCCUUUCCGGGACUCAGUGCCGCAGCUAACGCAUUAAGCACUCCGCCUGGGGAGUACGACCGCAAGGUUGAAACUCAAAGGAAUUGACGGGGGCCCGCACAAGCGGUGGAGCAUGUGGUUUAAUUCGAAGCAACGCGAAGAAC
rnacentral:rRNA from 1 species